rnacentral:rRNA from 1 species
GAGUUUGAUCCUGGCUCAGGAUGAACGCUGACAGAAUGCUUAACACAUGCAAGUCGAUGGGGAAGUGGUGCUUGCACCAUGGUAACCAUGGCGGACGGGUGAGUAACGCGUAAGGGACUUACCUGCGGGACUGGGAUAACAGUAGGAAACUGCUGAUAAGACCGGAUAAAGUCAUGGAGCUGCAUGGUUCUAUGAUGAAAGGAGACGCCUGCGGAGAGCCUUGCGUCCUAUUAGCUAGUUGGAGGGGUAACGGCCCACCAAGGCGAUGAUAGGUAGCCGGCCUGAGAGGGUGGACGGCCACAAGGGGACUGAGAUACGGCCCUUACUCCUACGGGAGGCAGCAGUGGGGAAUAUUGGACAAUGGGGGCAACCCUGAUCCAGCAAUUCUGUGUGCACGAAGACGGUUUUCGGAUUGUAAAGUGCUUUCAGCAGGGAAGAAGGAAGUGACGGUACCUGCAGAAGAAGCGACGGCUAAAUACGUGCCAGCAGCCGCGGUAAUACGUAUGUCGCGAGCGUUAUCCGGAAUUAUUGGGCAUAAAGGGCAUCUAGGCGGCCUAACAAGUCAGGGGUGAAAACCUGCGGCUCAACCGCAGGCCUGCCUUUGAAACUGUAAGGCUGGAGUAUCGGAGAGGUGGACGGAACUGCACGAGUAGAGGUGAAAUUCGUAGAUAUGUGCAGGAAUGCCGAUGAUGAAGAUAGUUCACUGGACGGUAACUGACGCUGAAGUGCGAAAGCUAGGGGAGCAAACAGGAUUAGAUACCCUGGUAGUCCUAGCUGUAAACGAUGAUUACUGGGUGUGGGCAUGAAGAGUGUCCGUGCCGAAGCAAAUGCGAUAAGUAAUCCGCCUGGGGAGUACGGCCGCAAGGCUGAAACUCAAAGGAAUUGACGGGGACCCGCACAAGCGGUGGAGCAUGU